GGGUACUUGAAAAUCCUAGACUGUUAGUGGGACUAAAUCCAGGACUGGUCAGGGGUACUUGAGGACUGGGUUUGAAACCCCUGAUCUAAACAAUGAAGCAAUCUAUUAUUAAAAGGAUGCUCCAAGCACCAAAACUACAACACCACAAUGUCAGGAAUGUGGUGUAAGGUGUCCUCAGAUACUGUCUGCCCGUAAUUGUCAAACUGUUUACAAAAAUGUUUGACUCUUAGCUUACUGUGUUGGAUGCAGAGGUCCUUCUGGCCUAAAUUGGUCUCAUAAAGCAGAAGUUGCUACUUCUACACCAGGUUUAGCUAGUACUCACUGGCUGAGAGUGUCAGCUGACAGCUUUCAGCCUAUGAAUACUGUCUAAAACUUGAUAUGGUAAUACAUAAAUAUGGGUUUCUUUUUUUUAAACCAAGACCUUGAUUUAUUAUUUUUAGAUAAGCUUUUCAAGUGAUGUGUUAUUUACAGAAGUCACCAUUAAAGUAUGUGGAGAUUUUUGUAGCUAAAUCAUUUGAA